CCUACGGGAGGCAGCAGUGAGGAAUAUUGGUCAAUGGACGCAAGUCUGAACCAGCCAUGCCGCGUGUAGGAAGAAUGUUCUACGAAUUGUAAACUACUUUUAUAUAGGAAGAAACCUCCAUACGUGUAUGGAGCUGACGGUACUAUAUGAAUAAGCACCGGCUAACUCCGUGCCAGCAGCCGCGGUAAUACGGAGGGUGCAAGCGUUAUCCGGAAUUAUUGGGUUUAAAGGGUGCGUAGGCGGUCUUUUAAGUCAGAGGUGAAAUCCCUACCGCUUAACGGAGGAACUGCCUUUGAUACUAUUAGACUUGAAAGAAUGUGACGUAGGCGGAAUGUGUAGUGUAGCGGUGAAAUGCAUAGAUAUUACACAGAACACCGAUCGCGAAGGCAGCUUACGAACAUUGAUUUGACGCUGAUGCACGAAAGCGUGGGUAGCGAACAGGAUUAGAUACCCUGGUAGUCCACGCCGUAAACGAUGAUCACUGGACAUUUGGCUAUUAGUUGAGUGUUUGAGCGAAAGUAUUAAGUGAUCCACCUGGGGAGUACGGUCGCAAGAUUGAAACUCAAAGGAAUGACGG
rnacentral:rRNA from 1 species